AUGUUGACCAGGGUUGACUGACCAAGUCGUCUGGACAACUCAAGUCGAGAUGGCGCCGUGGACCUUCCUUCUCGUCGUGUUGGUACUGGCAGUGGCUGAAGGCCAAGUAGGGUCGAGGCAAGGGGCAUCUCAACUCAGCGGCGGACCUGGGAACGCUCGUUCGCAGAACUCCGUUCUUCGCCUCUUACAAGGACAACAACGGGAGCUGUGUGAAGGACUUUGUGACGGAAUGCCAGGAAUUUGCGAACCCAGCAGCUGGUGUGUCUGUCCUUUUGGACCACCAUUUCAGACUAGGAAUUGCUUGUACAGACGGGUUACUUCUAUUCCACCUCCUGGAAAAUGAGCAACGGAGGAAAAUGAAUGUAGCCACGCAAAUAAAAGGCAGGCGUUAAAGCGAAAGUCCGCAA